AGAGUUUGAUCCUGGCUCAGAACGAACGCUGGCGGCAGGCUUAACACAUGCAAGUUGAACGGGAUUUGUGUGGUGCUUGCACCAUAUAAUGAGAGUAGCGCACUGGUGAGUAACACGUGGGAACGUGCCUUUUAGUGGGGGAUAACAUCUGGAAACGGAUGCUAAUACCGCAUACGCCCUGAGGGGGAAAGAUUUAUUGCUAAGAGGUCGGCCCGCGGUAGAUUAGGCAGUUGGUGGGGUAAAGGCCUACCAAACCUACGAUCUAUAGCUGGUCUGAGAGGACGAUCAGCCACAUUGGAACUGAGACACGGUCCAGACUCCUACGGGAGGCAGCAGUGAGGAAUAUUGGGCAAUGGAGGCAACUCUGACCCAGCCAUGCCGCGUGAGUGAGAAGGUUUUCGAAUUGUAAAGCUCUUUCGGGUGUGAAGAUGAUGACGGUAACACCAGAAGAAGCCCCGGCAAACUUCGUGCCAGCAGCCGCGGUAAUACGAAGGGGGCGAGCGUUGUUCGGAAUUACUGGGCGUAAAGGGUGUGUAGGCGGUUAAGUAAGAUAGUGGUGAAAUGCCGGGGCUCAACCUCGGAAUUGCCAUUAUGACUAUUUAGCUAGAAUGAUGCAGAGGAUAGCGGAAUACCCAGUGUAGAGGUGAAAUUCGUAGAUAUUGGGUAGAACACCAGAGGCGAAGGCGGCUAUCUGGGCAUUGAUUGACGCUGAGGCACGAAAGCAUGGGGAUCAAACAGGAUUAGAUACCCUGGUAGUCCAUGCUGUAAACGAUGAAUGCUAGUUGUUGGAGGAAUUCAGUGACGCAGUUAACACAAUAAGCAUUCCGCCUGGGGAGUACGGUCGCAAGAUUAAAACUCAAAGGAAUUGACGGGGACCCGCACAAGCGGUGGAGCAUGUGGUUUAAUUCGA
rnacentral:rRNA from 1 species